CAAAAUUCCCCUCGCUCGUCCUCUCCCUCUCGGUUUUGCUCGCUCCUGAGCCGCCGUUGCCGCGCCAUCGUGCCACCGUGGCCACCGGCCUUCCCUCGUCGCUCGAAGAUGUCCGGGGGCUCCGUCGUGGUCGGACCCAUUACCACGUCGAAGAGCUCGAGCUAGGAUGCCCCGUAGCCUCGCCAUCGUCCUCGUCUUCACGCACGGCCGCCGCAUCAUGCCGUCGUUUGCCACCCCAACGGGCCACCCCGGCGGCCUUGACCAUGUCCACGAGCCUCCCCACCCCGAGACCGACGCUGAUACCCCUGUGAUCGACUACAUCGACGACGAACCCUCCUUCUUGCCAGAGCAACCAGGCAAGCCCCCCCCCCUUGAUCACC
rnacentral:rRNA from 1 species